AUGAUUUUUCUGCAUAAUCCAGAAGAUCAGUCCCCCUUCAUCUCAGGUCAUGCAAACUGUUUUGAUUUUGGCUUUGCAACUUUUAUUCCGACUGAAGCAUGCCGUCACAGCAGAUUUGUUAUAAAAAGAAUGGGUGAGAUGGAUUUGAUAAAGGGUUGGAAAACUUGGAGCCGAGACAUGAAACCUAUCGCAGCAGGAAUUUUGUGCAUGGUUGAAUCAAAGUUUGACAAAGAGUUUGGAGGUUGCAAGAAUGGCAUCAUGAAGUCAUAA